rnacentral:rRNA from 1 species
CCUACGGGAGGCAGCAGUGAGGAAUAUUGGUCAAUGGACGAGAGUCUGAACCAGCCAAGUAGCGUGAAGGAUGACUGCCCUAUGGGUUGUAAACUUCUUUUAUAUGGGAAUAAAAUGUUCCACGUGUGGGAUUUUGUAUGUACCAUAUGAAUAAGGAUCGGCUAACUCCGUGCCAGCAGCCGCGGUAAUACGGAGGAUCCGAGCGUUAUCCGGAUUUAUUGGGUUUAAAGGGAGCGUAGGUGGCUUGUUAAGUCAGUUGUGAAAGUUUGCGGCUCAACCGUAAAAUUGCAGUUGAAACUGGCAGUCUUGAGUACAGUAGAGGUGGGCGGAAUGCGUGGUGUAGCGGUGAAAUGCUUAGAUAUCACGAAGAACUCCGAUUGCGAAGGCAGUUCACUGGACUGCAACUGACACUGAGGCUCGAAAGUGUGGGUAUCAAACAGGAUUAGAUACCCUAGUAGUC